UACCUCCUACGGGGGGCAGCAGUGAGGAAUAUUGGUCAAUGGUCGGGAGACUGAACCAGCCAAGCCGCGUGAGGGAGGAAGGUACAGAGUAUCGUAAACCUCUUUUGUCAGGGAACAAAGACUGGGACGCGUCCCCGGAUGAGUGUACCUGAAGAAAAAGCAUCGGCUAACUCCGUGCCAGCAGCCGCGGUAAUACGGAGGAUGCGAGCGUUAUCCGGAUUUAUUGGGUUUAAAGGGCGCGCAGGCGGAAGAUCAAGUCAGCGGUAAAAUUGAG
rnacentral:rRNA from 1 species